GUCAUAGCUUGGCAUAGAGGUUUGAGUGCUGAACUAUGACUCUGGAGACCAGGGUUCGAUUCCCAGCUUGGUCA
rnacentral:tRNA from 1 species